AGUGAACGCUGGCGGUAGGCCUAACACAUGCAAGUCGAACUGCAGCACAUUAAGAGCUUGCUCUUACGGGUGGCGAGUGGCGGACGGGUGAGGAAUACAUCGGAAUCUACUUUUUCGUGGGGGAUAACGUAGGGAAACUUACGCUAAUACCGCAUACGACCUACGGGUGAAAGCAGGUGAUCUUCGGACCUUGCGCGUUUGAGUGAGCCGAUGUCGGAUUAGCUAGUUGGCGGGGUAAAGGCCCACCAAGUCGACGAUCCGUAGCUGGUCUGAGAGGAUGAUCAGCCACAAUGGAACUGAGACACGGUCCAGACUCCUACGGGAGGCAGCAGUGGGGAAUAUUGGACAAUGGGCGCAAGCCUGAUCCAGCCAUACCGCGUGGGUGAAGAAGGCAUUCGGGUUGUAAAGCACUUUUGUUGGGAAAGAAAAGCAGAAGGUUAAUACCCCGCUGUUCUGACGGUACCAAAAGAAUAAGCACCGGCUAACUUCGUG
rnacentral:rRNA from 1 species